GACGCCUUGAUGAAUCGGGCAUGAUUAGCACUGAACGCAAUAUCGGUAGUGCUCACUGUUCAUGGACGCCUGGACAAAAAAACAUUCUCGGCUGCUAUUGCUCCCCAAACUACCAUCUCUUCACUCGCCGCUCUGUUCCAGUAAGAACCCUAGAUCCAUUCCCCUCUCCUCCUCGUCCCCUUAAUCGCGCCCCCACCCCAAUCUCUCGUCUGGUGAGGUUCAUCCAGGUAGGAGGGAUCUGAAGCACGCCGUCUGCUCCUGCAACGCGCGGUCGUCACCGUCCGGUGAGGUUCCCAAAUCCCUUCACACUCGAUGGACCAAGAUGACGAGCUGCACCACCCCGCGUGGAUCUUGCCACCACUGACCCCGCUUGGCUGACCCCAACAUCCAGGACCUCUCUUCAGAAAGUUUGCGCUCUUAUCUCUACAUUCAACGAAUCCAAAUGCAUACUGGUUGUAGAAAUUGGUUUUGGUGGCAUGUUGCGUCUCCCGGCUAUUCCUAGGCUUAAUUUAAAAUUUAUCACAUGGAUCAUGAGCAUGGUUGAUGGUCCGAACAGAUGCAUCAAGCUAUCUCAUGAUAGAUCGAUUAAAUUCUGGCCAGAGGAUAUCCACAAAGUUUUUGGCA